rnacentral:rRNA from 1 species
AUGAGGUGCGCAGGGAGCCUUCUUCUCCUGCUGCUUCUGCUCUCCCUGUCUGCCUCCACCGCCGAAGCAAACAACAAGGAGAGCUUGGGCGACAACGCGGUACCCUUGACCGGCCGGGGAUGGCACCUGAGAGGACGGAGGUCAAUGGCGGCUCGAGGGCAUGGAGGAGCGGGGAGUGAUGAGGCCGUGGGCGCCAGCAACACAGGAGCAAAUGAAGAAGCAGAUCAUACGUCUGCUGAAUUUGUACAUGAUGAGGGUAAACAGAGCAAGGGAUCAGCAGCUCGGCCCGUGCUUCAGGGAGCAAGCGGCCAUCGUCAUCGUCACCAUGGCGGCGACGCGGCCUCCAUGGCGUCCGACAUGCUGAGGAUGGACUACUCCGUCUCCGUGGACGUCCACAGCCGACGGCCCAUCAACAACGACGCUCCGUUGGAUGAGCUCGCGGAGAAGAAGCCUUAG